UACGGGGGGGGUAAGCGUUGUUCGGAAUUACUGGGCGUAAAGGGCUCGUAGGCGGCCAACUAAGUCGGACGUGAAAUCCCUCAGCUUAACUGGGGAACUGCGUCCGAUACUGGAUGGCUUGGAUUUGGGAGAGGGAUGCGGAAUUCCAGGUGUAGCGGUGAAAUGCGUAGAUAUCGAGAGGAACACCUGCGGCGAAGGCGGGUUGCUGGGCUGACACUGACGCUGAUUGUGCGAAAGCUAGGGGAGCGAACGGG
rnacentral:rRNA from 1 species